rnacentral:tRNA from 14 species
CUAAGGGAUUAGGACAGGAACCUUCUAAGUUUCUAAUGUAGGUUCGAAUCCUACUAG